rnacentral:rRNA from 1 species
AGUGAACGUUGGCGGCGUGGAUUAGGCAUGCAAGUCGAGCGAGAACCGUAGCAAUACGGGGACAGCGGCGAAAGGGACAGUAAUGUGUAGGUACCUACCUCCGGGUUCGGGAUAGCUGCGGGAAACUGCAGGUAAUACCGAAUAACGUCUCCGGACCAAAGGUGUGAUUCCACCUGGAGAGGGGCCUGCAUCCUAUUAGCUUGUUGGCGGGGUAACGGCCCACCAAGGCGACGAUGGGUAGCGGGUGUGAGAGCACGACCCGCGUCAUUUGGGCUGAGACACUGCCCAGACACCUACGGGUGGCUGCAGUCGUGAAUCUUCGGCAAUGGGCGCAAGCCUGACCGAGCGACGCCGCGUGCGGGAUGAAGGCCUUCGGGUUGUAACCCGCUGUCGUAGAGGAGGAAAUGCAGGGGGGUUCUCCCCUCUGUUUGACCUAUUCUAGGAGGAAGUACGGGCUAAGUUCGUGCCAGCAGCCGCCGUAA